AAUAUUGCACAAUGGGGGAAACCCUGAUGCAGCGACGCCGCGUGAGCGAAGAAGGCCUUAGGGUUGUAAAGCUCUUUCACCGGUGAAGAUAAUGACGGUAACCGGAGAAGAAGCCCCGGCUAACUUCGUGCCAGCAGCCGCGGUAAUACGAAGGGGGCUAGCGUUGUUCGGAAUUACUGGGCGUAAAGCGCACGUAGGCGGAUUAUUAAGUCAGGGGUGAAAUCCCGCAGCUCAACUGCGGAACUGCCUUUGAUACUGGUAAUCUAGAGACCGAGAGAGGUAAGUGGAACUCCUAGUGUAGAGGUGGAAUUCGUAGAUAUUAGGAAGAACACCAGUGGCGAAGGCGGCUUACUGGCUCGGAACUGACGCUGAGGUGCGAAAGCGUGGGGAGCAAAC
rnacentral:rRNA from 1 species